AUGAGUGGUCUCACGGUCUCCGAGAAGGGGGCUGUUCCUUCCGUCAAGAUGAUCACCGGCCAGGUGGGCCGGGCUCAGAGGGUCAUGUCGCCUACGCCGGCAAGGGCGUCGCUUGGUCAGGAGGACCAGGCGUGUGCGCCGGCUGUUCUUGCUGGGCGGGGCCACGAGGUCCAGGGCCAAGUGUCCCUGGAGAACUGUCGCCAGGGUGGUGUGCACGACAAGCAGAGCCAGCUGCUGUGCGAUGCUGAUCCGGACCAGGCCGUCCUGGUGGGUCAGAUGGCACGGGAUUUCUCAAGCGCUGGUGAGGCCCAGCCAAGUCCCAGCGCAGGGGCUGAUGCUGGCGGACUCCUCUUCCAGCCGGGUGUGCUAGAGGCGCUAUCUAAUGCGGUUGCUGGAAGGAUCGUCACGGUUGGUGGUGAUACAGGAAAUAAUGCCUCACGCUUUAAAUUCAGUGCAACUAAAAAUCAUAUGCAGGGCACUUCAAAAAAGAAAGAUAAAAAGAGAGGGGGGCCAAAUAGAGCUGAGGAUGCCCGUAAGCAGGUUCUAGGGGAAAAAAGAGCACAUUCUUUUGGAGCUCGUCCGACGGGUAGUGACCUAGAGUUCCCCUUUGAGAAAGAGAUGGAUAGCUAUGAGCGCAUGCUAUAUGGUGAUGUAAACGUCUCAUUCAAACGGGUGUGCACGGAUAGAGUUGUAGUAGUCCAGGACAAGGAGGGCGGGGUGACACACAUUGCAAAGGAGAUUGAUGAGGAGGAAGAAGAGUACGUGCCGCGAAGUGUGGAAUCGGUUGACGAAGAGAAAGAUGAGAUUGGCACAUCGGCGGCCUCCGAGGAGGAGGGCCGCCGGGCCAAAUGA
rnacentral:rRNA from 1 species